rnacentral:rRNA from 1 species
GUGGAUUAGAUACCCUGGUAGUCCACGCCGUAAACGAUGUCUGCUAGCCGUUGGGGGACUUGAUCCCUCAGUGGCGAAGUUAACGCGAUAAGCAGACCGCCUGGGGAGUACGGCCGCAAGGUUAAAACUCAAAUGAAUUGACGGGGGCCCGCACAAGCGGUGGAGUAUGUGGUUUAAUUCGACGCAACGCGAAAAACCUUACCAGGUCUUGACAUCCACGGAACUUUCUAGAGAUAGAUUGGUGCCGCAAGGAACCGUGAGACAGGUGCUGCACGGUUGUCGACAACU